CGGGCCAGCUCGAGACGGCCACAUUGUGAGUCUGUGGGAGGGGUUCUACCGAGACGAAUGGACUUUUCUGAGGCAGGGCCCAGGAGCUGUAAUUCGAGGGGCCUCAGAUCUCCCUGCCACCCACCUGCCAGGGCCUGGUUGAAGAUGGCUGAGCGUAAAACAGAAUGCAAGUCAGCUGGAGCACGUACUACUGGAGGCAGAGCCCCAUGAGAAGGGGCCAAGAACCCGCACCCAUCAAAAUCAAGAAGAAAGGCUGAACCCGGAGAGAAAAGGGAGUUUGUUUUUAGGUCAGAGUCUCAUAUCCUGGUCUGCACUCGAUGGAUUCUUAAAGCAAUUGGAACCUCAGGCUGGUCCUGGAGCAAGAGCUGGUCCUUUACUUGGGGCUCUCAGAAGCAGUCUGUUCCCUGGACAUGCUCCUCUCUCUCAGUCCUCAGGUGGUGCCAGUUGGUGGGGGAGAAUGUUCCUGGCAUGUGGACUUGAAUCUGGCAGCAACUGAUGUUGCCAUGCAGAUCCCUUGGUUGCUAUGAGAUGGUAACAUCACUCUGCCCCACCAUUGGCCAGUGCCUCCUCAGCUGCGGUGCCUCCCAGGCUGUGUGGUUCUCACGCGGGCCACUGACACAGAGCUGUUACUAUGGUGAACUUUACAAUUUCCUUUGAUUGGUGGAUUUCAGAAAUAGGCCAUCAGCGGAAUUCAUUAUAUUCAGCUAAGUAAAAAUGAAAAAUAAAUACUAUAACUUUCCCCUCAUCACUAACAUGAAGGAAACGUGACCCUUCAUGACAUAAUAAAUCGCUGUUCGGUAACUUAGGAUCCUUCAGGGGACUGAAGCGGGAUGAUCCUCCUAUGCCAAAUUUGGGUGGGAAAGAUAUUCCCUGUAGCUUUGAGUCGACUCUUCAGAGUUAAGGGCAGUGGGCCAACCAGAGUUGGAACUUCAGAGUUGGGAGGAGGUGUGGGAUGGGGCAUGCAUUGAAAUGUAAACUCUAUUGUCUCUGAAGUGAUGGGUGAUGCUGGGGGCCUGAGUGUGGAGGGCAGUUUUACAUCUCAGGACAAUGUUUUCUCAGAUGCUCUUCCAGAAAGAAAAGCCAGGAGUACUCCUGGCUGGAGGCGGCAUGCCUGAGGUCAGAGUCAAAGUAGGGUUUGUGCUGUCUGAAUCCUUUCUCCCACUCUCCCCAGCCUGGCUCAGCUUCUCAGCUUCUCAGGUGGAUUGGUGAGUCCUGGCCAAUUACGCUUCAGCUCAUCUCUACUCUCAGCAAAUAGGAAAAGGGAGUGAAGGACUGAGUUUUAACUCUUCUAAUUUCGUAACCUGACUCUCUAUAAGAAAAAGUAGGAGAAAGACUGAAGAACCCGAGAGAACAGGCCUCUGAGCCCAAGCCAAGCCAUCGCAUCCCCUGUGACUUGCCCGUAUAUAUGCCCAGAUGGCCUGAAGUAACUGAAGAAUCACAAAAGAAGUGAAUAUGCCUUGCCCCACCUUGACUGAUGACAUUCCACCACAAAAGAAGUGUAAAUGGCCGGUCCUUGCCUUAACUGAUGACAUUACCUUGUGAAAGUCCUUUUCCUGGCUCAUCCUGGCUCAAAAAGCACCCCCACUGAGCAUCUUGCGACUCCCACUCCUGCCCACUGAGCACCUUGUGACCCCCACUCCUGCCUGCCAGAGAACAAACCCCCUUUGACUGUAAUUUUCCUUUACCUACCCAAAUCCUAUAAAACGGCUCCACCCUUAUCUCCUUUUGCUGACUCUCUUUUCUGACUCAGCCCGCCUGCACCCAGGAGAUUAAAAGCU
ensembl:lncRNA novel transcript, antisense to PELI1